rnacentral:rRNA from 1 species
AUGGUCUCCACGAACCCGCCGCCGCCGCCGGCGCUGUCCGAGGCGGCCGCCGCCGUGUCGGGCGACGACGCCAGCAAGAAGGUGCGGAAGCCCUACACCAUCACCAAGUCGCGCGAGAGCUGGACGGAGCAGGAGCACGACAAGUUCCUCGAGGCCCUGCAGCUCUUUGAUCGUGACUGGAAAAAGAUAGAAGCUUUUGUUGGUUCGAAGACUGUCAUCCAGAUAAGGAGCCAUGCACAGAAGUAUUUUUUGAAGGUUCAGAAAAAUGGAACCAGCGAACAUGUCCCACCUCCACGACCAAAGCGUAAAGCUGCCCACCCAUACCCUCAGAAGGCCUCCAAAAAUGAGCCAGGAUAUGCCCUGAAGACAGAUCCAUCUGCCAUGCUUAGAAACUCAGGAAUGAACGUGGCUGUUUCUCCAUGGACCCACAAUUCUAUCCCACCAGUUGUCGCCUCAUCUUUCAUGAAAGAAGAUUUAGGUGCUGGGUCUAUGGGUCCAAACAUUUUUUGCUCAAGCAGUAGUGAAGGCCCUCCAAGGGCAUGGCAAUCUGGUGAAACCAAUGACCAGAUAAAUCAAGUUCCAUCACUCCGCAUUAUGCCAGAUUUUGCACAAGUAUACAGCUUCUUAGGCAGUGUUUUCGAUCCAAGCACAAAGGGCCAUUUGCAGAAACUGAAGGAGAUGAAUCCAAUUGAUGUUGAAACGGCACUGUUGUUGAUGAGAAAUCUCUCCAUCAACUUGACCAGUCCUGAUUUUGAAGAUCAAAGGAAGUUGCUGUCUUCGUACAAUUCCACCUCUGAUGAGCUAGAGCUAGGGAGCUCCAGAAGCUCACUUCUUACGGAUAGUGCAUUGAGCCUUUUUUGA